rnacentral:siRNA from 1 species
UGUUAUUGUGGACGUCUGUUGC